GAACCUGCGGAGGGAUCAUUACACAACAAAAUAUGAAGGCCUGGCUUUCGCGGCCGGCUGAAGUAUUUUUUUCACCCAUGUCUUUUGCGCACUUGUUGUUUCCUGGGCGGGUUCGCCCGCCACCAGGACCGAACCAUAAACCUUUUUUUCUUAUGCAGUUUCCAUCAGCGUCAGUAAAAACAAUGUAAUUAUUACAACUUUCAACAACGGAUCUCUUGGUUCUGGCAUCGAUGAAGAACGCAGCGAAAUGCGAUACGUAGUGUGAAUUGCAGAAUUCAGUGAAUCAUCGAAUCUUUGAACGCACAUUGCGCCCUUUGGUAUUCCAAAGGGCAUGCCUGUUCGAGCGUCAUUUGUACCUUCAAGCUUUGCUUGGUGUUGGGCGUUUUUUUGUCUCCCUCUUUCUGGGAGACUCGCCUUAAAACGAUUGGCAGCCGGCCUACUGGUUUCGGAGCGCAGCACAUUUUUUGCGCUUUGUAUCAGGAGAAAAGGACGGUACUCCAUCAAGACUCUACAUUUUUCACUUUUGACCUCGGAUCAGGUAGGGAUACCCGCUGAACUUAAGCAUAUCAAUA
rnacentral:rRNA from 1 species